UAUUGCACAAUGGGCGAAAGCCUGAUGCAGCGACGCCGCGUGAAGGAUGAAGUAUUUUGGUAUGUAAACUUCUAUCAGCAGGGAAGAAAAUGACGGUACCUGACUAAGAAGCCCCGGCGAACCACGUGCCAGCAGCCGCGGGAAUACGUAGGGGGCAAGCGUUAUCCGGAUUUACUGGGUGUAAAGGGAGCGUAGACGGCGAUGCAAGCCAGAUGUGAAAGCCCGGGGCUCAACCCCGGGACUGCAUUUGGAACUGUGUGGCUGGAGUGUCGGAGAGGCAAGUGGAAUUCCUAGUGUAGCGGUGAAAUGCGUAGAUAUUAGGAGGAACACCAGUGGCGAAGGCGGCUUGCUGGACGAUGACUGACGUUGAUGCUCGAAAGCGUGGGGAGCAAACAGGA
rnacentral:rRNA from 1 species